AAAAGCAGCUGUGUCACCUCCCUGCUCCUGCCCCACAUCUCUCAGGGGGAGCUCUUGGCCCCGCAGAUGCAACAGCCUGUGGAUGUAGGCUUCGGCUGAGCCCAGCUCACGGAUCGGCUCAGGUUGAGUCCUGUUCUCAUCAACAGGGACCAGAGGAGGCUCCUGGGGAGGAGAUGUGCAGCAUCAGUACCAGCUCUCUGGAGCCCCACGUCAGCUGGAAGGACUCUUUCGAGAUCACCUGGGAAUGAGACAAUGAGAAGCAUGUCAAUGCAGACAGAUGCCAAGUUCCUGCUGCCCACAGGC
rnacentral:lncRNA from 1 species